AGUGAACGCUGGCGGCGUGCCUAACACAUGCAAGUCGAACGAUGAAGAGCAGCUUGCUGCUCGGAUUAGUGGCGCACGGGUGAGUAAUGCAUAGGUAAUGUGCCCCUUAGUCUGGGAUAGCCACUGGAAACGGUGAUUAAUACUAGAUACUCCUUCUUGUCUUAAGGCAAGUCGGGAAAGUUUUUCGCUAAGGGAUCAGCCUAUGUCCUAUCAGGUAGUUGGUGAGGUAACGGCUCACCAAGCCAAUGACGGGUAUCUGGUUUGAGAGGAUGAUCAGACACACUGGAACUGAGACACGGUCCAGACUCCUACGGGAGGCAGCAGUGAGGAAUAUUGCACAAUGGAGGAAACUCUGAUGCAGCAACGCCGCGUGAGGAUGACGCAUUUCGGUGUGUAAACUCCUUUUAAGGGGGAAGAUUAUGACGGUACCUCUUGAAUAAGCACCGGCUAACUCCGUGCCAGCCGCCGCCGUAA
rnacentral:rRNA from 1 species